GCUGGGUAGCGGUACAAGUGAGGCGGGCAAGGCCCAUUCCCUUACGGCUCUAGGCAGAAAGAAGCAAUGGGCUGAAGUGACGCUGGAUGAGUGGCCAGUCUGGUCGGUAGGGUGGCCGGUGUGCUCUCAGGCUUGACUGCCAAUAGACCUCUGAUGAUGACACGAGCUCACGCCGUCUGCUUUGUGAACGUGUACAGGAUGCGGAAGACUGGCUACAUGCAGCAGGCCAGUCCCCACCACCCCGUGAGGGGCCGGGAUCAGUAGUCCUUACCUUACUAAUGUGUGGAAAUGGACGGUCUUAACUCUUCACUGUCCCACUGAGUGCAAUGCUAUUUCUGCCUGGAUCUCCUGCCGCACUGACCAGCUCUGGCUACACGUGUACUCCGGUGCCCCUCCCCUCCCCCCUUUGCCCGUGCCAGCCGUCCGUCAGCCCCCCUGGUCAGCCCGGAGCGAGCAGAGUGGGAAUUUUGUCUUUGUAUUGAAGCUGCAAUAGCGGCAUGUACUGGGAUGCCGAACAGCUAAGGUGCUGCGGGAACUGGUAGGAGCCCACGAGUUACGGCCCCGCAAUAGCGGGGGAAUUGUGUGCAGGGUAGUGUACACAGAAAAUAUGACAAUACCAAACAUAACAAUAAUAAUGGGGUGAUUACAGGACAGGCAGCGACAGUCUCCCGUUUCACAAACUUUCUCUAGGUGCUUUUCCUCCUUGAUGUGAAGUAUGGACAUAUCGACGAAACAACAAUUUCGAGCACUCCUUGAGCUCGCACUGUCGGCUUUGUGCUGGUGAAAUGGAGGGCCCUGCCCAGCCUGGCCCCCCAAACGCAGCAGGUGCGAGCUGCUCCCUCGCGGAGCGCCCUUCGACCCAGACAAAUGCAUACGUAGCACCAUGCAUGCGUAUGCAACCCAGCAGCUGCUCGCCCUCCCAUCAUAGUCUCUCAUUGUUUUCCCCCUUGCCGCGUGUUCUGAAACCAGGCUGUCGCUGGGAGAGGCUCCCGCUGCUGGCCCCCGGCGCCCGGCCCCAACAGCAGCGGCAGCCAGUCUGUGGUCCUGAGGCCGCUGUACGUGAAGACGCUGACGGGCAAGACCAUCACGCUGCAGGACGUGCACUCCGACCUGGACGUGUACGACCUGAAGUGCAUGGUGCGUUACUGUUACAGUUAUAGUUUGCAGUUAUGAUUAUAGCUGCAGUGUUUCAUUAGUUGGUGCCCAGUAUGUGGGGAACGCGGGCAGUGGCUGUCCAUGCAUGCCUCCUGCCAGUGCCGGUGGCUUGUGCUGCUCCCACGUUCAACGCGCCGUUACCGGCCCCGAGCCCCUACUGACGGUUUGCUCCUGCUGCUUCUACUAUACCGCUGCUGCUGCCGUCUGCUGCGGUCGCCCACAGAUUGACGAGCUAGAGGGCAUCCCACCGGACGAGCAGCGGCUCGUCUUCGCGGGCAGGCAGCUCGAGGACGCUGACACCCUGGCGUCCUACAACAUCUCAAAGGAGUCCACCCUGCAUCUCAUCCUGAGGCUGGGCCACCCAGGCGUGGCGAUCCAGGUGUCAUGAGGGGCGGCGGCUGGCGGCGGGAGUGGCGGGUGGGUGCUGGCGGGUGCGGUGGAUGUGGUGGCGGGUGGCGGGCGGCGGGUGGUGGGUGAUUGCCUGCUGUGGGCGCGGCUGAAGGGGUGGCGGGGCGGUGGCGGAGCGGUGGCGGGGUAGUGGCAGGGAGGUGGUGACUGGCCGGGGGAGGGGUGACAUUCAUGUUCUUAUCAGGAAAAGGGGCCGGGGAAGAGGUAGGUGUAAUGACGGGUAUCUGCCCCGGACCUCUGGGACGUGCCACCUACUACCAUCCGUAGUAGCAGGGUGUGCCACGCGAGCUGACGAACAGCACGAAGUGCCGCAGCGCAUGCGCGGAUGUGCACAUGUGUGCAGCUGGCAAUCGCAACUUGAGGUGCUGUGUGAAUUGCAUCGCGUUGUGCUGCAGAUUCAUAACAUGCUUUGGGAAUAGAUGCGAUGGGACGGGGUAAGUGGCAGGAUUGCGUAGUCCCGUGGUGUGCACAGCGUAUGCUCUGUUGCCAGAAUGUUUAGGGCUGGGUAGCGGUACAAGUGAGGCGGGCAAGGCCCAUUCCCUUACGGCUCUAGGCAGAAAGAAGCAAUGGGCUGAAGUGACGCUGGAUGAGUGGCCAGUCUGGUCGGUAGGGUGGCCGGUGUGCUCUCAGGCUUGACUGCCAAUAGACCUCUGAUGAUGACACGAGCUCACGCCGUCUGCUUUGUGAACGUGUACAGGAUGCGGAAGACUGGCUACAUGCAGCAGGCCAGUCCCCACCACCCCGUGAGGGGCCGGGAUCAGUAGUCCUUACCUUACUAAUGUGUGGAAAUGGACGGUCUUAACUCUUCACUGUCCCACUGAGUGCAAUGCUAUUUCUGCCUGGAUCUCCUGCCGCACUGACCAGCUCUGGCUACACGUGUACUCCGGUGCCCCUCCCCUCCCCCCUUUGCCCGUGCCAGCCGUCCGUCAGCCCCCCUGGUCAGCCCGGAGCGAGCAGAGUGUCGGUGGAGGUAUUGGAUUGACAGAUUCAUAACAUGCUUUGGGAAUAGAUGCGAUGGGACGGGGUAAGUGGCAGGAUUGCGUAGUCCCGUGGUGUGCACAGCGUAUGCUCUGUUGCCAGAAUGUUUAGGGCUGGGUAGCGGUACAAGUGAGGCGGGCAAGGCCCAUUCCCUUACGGCUCUAGGCAGAAAGAAGCAAUGGGCUGAAGUGACGCUGGAUGAGUGGCCAGUCUGGUCGGUAGGGUGGCCGGUGUGCUCUCAGGCUUGACUGCCAAUAGACCUCUGAUGAUGACACGAGCUCACGCCGUCUGCUUUGUGAACGUGUACAGGAUGCGGAAGACUGGCUACAUGCAGCAGGCCAGUCCCCACCACCCCGUGAGGGGCCGGGAUCAGUAGUCCUUACCUUACUAAUGUGUGGAAAUGGACGGUCUUAACUCUUCACUGUCCCACUGAGUGCAAUGCUAUUUCUGCCUGGAUCUCCUGCCGCACUGACCAGCUCUGGCUACACGUGUACUCCGGUGCCCCUCCCCUCCCCCCUUUGCCCGUGCCAGCCGUCCGUCAGCCCCCCUGGUCAGCCCGGAGCGAGC
rnacentral:lncRNA from 1 species